AACGAACGCUGGCGGCAGGCCUAACACAUGCAAGUCGAGCGCCCCGCAAGGGGAGCGGCGGACGGGUGAGUAACGCGUGGGAACGUGCCUCUUGCUACGGAAUAGCCUCGGGAAACUGGGAGUAAUACCGUAUGUGCCCUACGGGGGAAAGAUUUAUCGGCAAGAGAUCGGCCCGCGUUGGAUUAGGUAGUUGGUGGGGUAAUGGCCUACCAAGCCGACGAUCCAUAGCUGGUUUGAGAGGAUGAUCAGCCACACUGGGACUGAGACACGGCCCAGACUCCUACGGGAGGCAGCAGUGGGAAUCUUAGACAAUGGGCGCAAGCCUGAUCUAGCCAUGCCGCGUUGAGCGAUGAAGGCCUUAGGGUUGUAAAGCUCUUUCAGUGGGGAAGAUAAUGACUGUACCCACAGAAGAAGCCCCGGCUAACUCCGUGCCAGCAGCCGCGGUAAAGUACUCUAU
rnacentral:rRNA from 1 species